rnacentral:rRNA from 1 species
AAGUCGAGCGGAAACGAAGAGGUGCUUGCACCUCUGGCGUCGAGCGGCGGACGGGUGAGUAAUGCUUGGGAAUAUGCCUUAUGGUGGGGGACAACAGUUGGAAACCACUGCUAAUACCGCAUGAUGUCUACGGACCAAAGUGGGGGACCUUCGGGCCUCACGCCAUAAGAUUAGCCCAAGUGGGAUUAGCUAGUUGGUGAGGUAAUGGCUCACCAAGGCGACGAUCCCUAGCUGGUUUGAGAGGAUGAUCAGCCACACUGGGACUGAGACACGGCCCAGACUCCUACGGGAGGCAGCAGUGGGGAAUAUUGCACAAUGGGCGCAAGCCUGAUGCAGCCAUGCCGCGUGUGUGAAGAAGGCCUUCGGGUUGUAAAGCACUUUCAGUAAGGAGGAAAGGUUAAGUGUUAAUAGCACUUAGCUGUGACGUUACUUACAGAAGAAGCACCGGCUAACUCCGUGCCAGCAGCCGCGGUAAUACGGAGGGUGCGAGCGUUAAUCGGAAUUACUGGGCGUAAAGCGUACGCAGGCGGUUUGUUAAGCGAGAUGUGAAAGCCCCGGGCUCAACC